rnacentral:rRNA from 1 species
GACGAACGCUGGCGGCGUGCUUAACACAUGCAAGUCGAGCGGUAAGGCCCUUUCGGGGGUACACGAGCGGCGAACGGGUGAGUAACACGUGGGUGACCUGCCCUCAGCUCUGGGAUAAGCCUGGGAAACCGGGUCUAAUACCGGAUAUGACUCCAUGACGCAUGUUGUGGGGUGGAAAGCCUUGUGCGGCUGAGGAUGGGCCCGCGGCCUAUCAGCUUGUUGGUGGGGUGAUGGCCUACCAAGGCGACGACGGGUAGCCGGCCUGAGAGGCGACCGGCCACACUGGGACUGAGACACGGCCCAGACUCCUAC